UUGUGUGUCGCACGGAUAACCUAGUCUGAGUUAUCUUGUGAUUUUGCUUCUGUGGAUGAAAGUGAUGUGGAUUUAGUGCUACAAAUUGUGAAACAAUAGUAAUUGCCGUGUGUUAUAAUAGUUUGAUUUAUGAAAACAUUGUAAUAUACUAAAUGCAGUGUGGUAAUUCAGUUUGAUGGAGACGCUGGCAGGUUGCUCUGUGGAACCCAAUGGCUGGACGUGGGCUUGCUUGAGAUUUGGGCGUGUCGUCUUCAUCUGUGACCUUUUGGAACCACGGAAGAAAUCAUCUUAGCGUCUCCAGGCCUCAGAAGGGACCGGAAGUCAAUUAUUAACCUCAGAUGGAGCUUUGCACAGCGAGCCCAUUUCCCAGUGGCCACAGUUCGAGAGGAAAUUCUAAUGGACCAAAUUGCGCAAGUUCACCUGAGAACGGGGCAGCGGCUAUCUCCCGGAGCCCGGUGGUUGCCGAUUGAUAAAGUACACAGAUUCG